rnacentral:rRNA from 1 species
GGUUAAGUUAGAAAGGGCGCACGGUGGAUGCCUUGGCACUAGGAGCCGAUGAAGGACGGGACGAACACCGAUAUGCUUCGGGGAGCUGUAAGCAAGCUUUGAUCCGGAGAUUUCCGAAUGGGGAAACCCACCACUCGUAAUGGAGUGGUAUCCAUAUCUGAAUACAUAGGAUAUGAGAAGGCAGACCCGGGGAACUGAAACAUCUAAGUACCCGGAGGAAGAGAAAGCAAAUGCGAUUCCCUGAGUAGCGGCGAGCGAAACGGGACCAGCCCAAACCAAGAGGCUUGCCUCUUGGGGUUGUAGGACACUCUGUACGGAGUUACAAAGGAACGAGGUAGAUGAAGAGGUCUGGAAAGGCCCGCCAUAGGAGGUAACAGCCCUGUAGUCAAAACUUCGUUCUCUCCUGAGUGGAUCCUGAGUACGGCGGAACACGUGAAAUUCCGUCGGAAUCCGGGAGGACCAUCUCCCAAGGCUAAAUACUCCCUAGUGACCGAUAGUGAACCAGUACCGUGAGGGAAAGGUGAAAAGCACCCCGGAAGGGGAGUGAAAGAGAUCCUGAAACCGUGUGCCUACAAGUAGUCAGAGCCCGUUAACGGGUGAUGGCGUGCCUUUUGUAGAAUGAACCGGCGAGUUACGAUCCCGUGCAAGGUUAAGCAGAAGAUGCGGAGCCGCAGCGAAAGCGAGUCUGAAUAGGGCGAAUUGAGUACGUGGUCGUAGACCCGAAACCAGGUGAUCUACCCAUGUCCAGGGUGAAGUUCAGGUAACACUGAAUGGAGGCCCGAACCCACGCACGUUGAAAAGUGCGGGGAUGAGGUGUGGGUAGGGGUGAAAUGCCAAUCGAACCUGGAGAUAGCUGGUUCUCUCCGAAAUAGCUUUAGGGCUAGCCUCAAGGUAAGAGUCUCGGAGGUAGAGCACUGAUUGGACUAGGGGCCCCUACCGGGUUACCGAAUUCAGUCAAACUCCGAAUGCCGAUGACUUAUCCUUGGGAGUCAGACUGCGAGUGAUAAGAUCCGUAGUCGAAAGGGAAACAGCCCAGACCGCCAGCUAAGGUCCCAAAGUAUACGUUAAGUGGAAAAGGAUGUGGAGUUGCUUAGACAACCAGGAUGUUGGCUUAGAAGCAGCCACCAUUUAAAGAGUGCGUAAUAGCUCACUGGUCGAGUGACUCUGCGCCGAAAAUGUACCGGGGCUAAACGUAUCACCGAAGCUGCGGACUGUUCUUCGAACAGUGGUAGGAGAGCGUUCUAAGGGCUGUGAAGCAAGACCGGAAGGACUUGUGGAGCGCUUAGAAGUGAGAAUGCCGGUAUGAGUAGCGAAAGAGGGGUGAGAAUCCCCUCCACCGAAUGCCUAAGGUUUCCUGAGGAAGGCUCGUCCGCUCAGGGUUAGUCGGGACCUAAGCCGAGGCCGAAAGGCGUAGGCGAUGGAUAACAGGUUGAUAUUCCUGUACCACCUCCUCACCAUUUGAGCAAUGGGGGACGCAGGAGGAUAGGGUAAGCGCGGUAUUGGAUAUCCGCGUCCAAGCAGUUAGGCUGGGAAAUAGGCAAAUCCGUUUCCCGUGAAGGCUGAGCUGUGAUGGCGAGCGAACUAUAGUAGCGAAGUUCCUGAUUCCACACUGCCAAGAAAAGCCUCUAGCGAGGUGAGAGGUGCCCGUACCGCAAACCGACACAGGUAGGCGAGGAGAGAAUCCUAAGGUGAUCGAGAGAACUCUCGUUAAGGAACUCGGCAAAAUGACCCCGUAACUUCGGGAGAAGGGGUGCUCUGUUAGGGUGCAAGCCCGAGAGAGCCGCAGUGAAUAGGCCCAGGCGACUGUUUAGCAAAAACACAGGUCUCUGCGAAGCCGUAAGGCGAAGUAUAGGGGCUGACGCCUGCCCGGUGCUGGAAGGUUAAGAGGAGCGCUUAGCGUAAGCGAAGGUGCGAAUUGAAGCCCCAGUAAACGGCGGCCGUAACUAUAACGGUCCUAAGGUAGCGAAAUUCCUUGUCGGGUAAGUUCCGACCCGCACGAAAGGCGCAACGAUCUGGGCACUGUCUCAACGAGAGACUCGGUGAAAUUAUAGUACCUGUGAAGAUGCAGGUUACCCGCGACAGGACGGAAAGACCCCGUGGAGCUUUACUGCAGCCUGAUAUUGAAUGUUGGUACAGCUUGUACAGGAUAGGUAGGAGCCUUGGAAACCGGAGCGCCAGCUUCGGUGGAGGCAUCGGUGGGAUACUACCCUGGCUGUAUUGACCUUCUAACCCGCCGCCCUUAUCGGGCGGGGAGACAGUGUCAGGUGGGCAGUUUGACUGGGGCGGUCGCCUCCUAAAAGGUAACGGAGGCGCCCAAAGGUUCCCUCAGAAUGGUUGGAAAUCAUUCGCAGAGUGUAAAGGCACAAGGGAGCUUGACUGCGAGACCUACAAGUCGAGCAGGGACGAAAGUCGGGCUUAGUGAUCCGGUGGUUCCGCAUGGAAGGGCCAUCGCUCAACGGAUAAAAGCUACCCCGGGGAUAACAGGCUUAUCUCCCCCAAGAGUCCACAUCGACGGGGAGGUUUGGCACCUCGAUGUCGGCUCAUCGCAUCCUGGGGCUGUAGUCGGUCCCAAGGGUUGGGCUGUUCGCCCAUUAAAGCGGUACGCGAGCUGGGUUCAGAACGUCGUGAGACAGUUCGGUCCCUAUCCGUCGCGGGCGCAGGAAAUUUGAGAGGAGCUGUCCUUAGUACGAGAGGACCGGGAUGGACGCACCGCUGGUGUACCAGUUGUUCUGCCAAGGGCAUCGCUGGGUAGCUAUGUGCGGACGGGAUAAGUGCUGAAAGCAUCUAAGCAUGAAGCCCCCCUCAAGAUGAGAUUUCCCAUUCCGCAAGGAAGUAAGAUCCCUGAAAGAUGAUCAGGUUGAUAGGUCUGAGGUGGAAGUGUGGCGACACAUGGAGCUGACAGAUACUAAUCGAUCGAGGACUUAACCAA